UUGUAUGGUUAAGUGACUAAGCGUAUACGGUGGAUGCCUAGGCAGUCAGAGGCGAUGAAGGACGUGUUAAUCUGCGUUAAGCUGUGGGGAGUUGAUAAAAAGCGUUAAUCCACAGAUUUCCGAAUGGGGGAACCCACCUUACUAAGUAAGGUAUCGUAACGUGAAUACAUAGCGUUACGAAGCGAACCGGGAGAACUGAAACAUCUAAGUACCCCGAGGAAAAGAAAUCAAUAGAGAUACCCUUAGUAGCGGCGAGCGAACGGGGUCUAGCCCUUAAGCAGUUUGGAAGUUAGUGGAAGAUUCUGGAAAGUUUCACGAUACAGGGUGAUAGUCCCGUACAUGAAAACGACCUUACUGUGAAAUCGAGUAGGACGGCACACGUGAUAUGCUGUUUGAAUAUGGAGGACCAUCUUCCAAGGCUAAAUACCACUGACUGACCGAUAGUGAACCAGUACCGUGAGGGAAAGGCGAAAAGAACCCCUGUGAGGGGGAGUGAAAUAGAACCUGAAACCGUAUACGUACAAGCAGUGGGAGCAGACUUGUUCUGUGACUGCGUACCUUUUGUAUAAUGGGUCAACGACUUAAUUUCAGUAGCAAGGUUAAGCGAAUAGCGGAGCCGUAGGGAAACCGAGUGUUAACUGCGCGAAUAGUUGCUGGGAUUAGACCCGAAACCCGGUGAUCUAGCCAUGGGCAGGUUGAAGGUUGAGUAACAUCAACUGGAGGACCGAACCGACUAAUGUUGAAAAAUUAGCGGAUGACUUGUGGCUGGGGUGAAAGGCCAAUCAAACCGGGAGAUAGCUGGUUCUCCUCGAAAGCUAUUUAGGUAGCGCCUCGCGUCUAACUAUUGGGGUAGAGCACUGUUAAGGUUAGGGGUCAUCCCGACUUACCCAACCCCUUUGCAAACUCCGAAUACCAAUAAGUUCAAUCGCGGGAGACACACGGCGGGUGCUAACGUCCGUCGUGGAAAGGGAAACAACCCAGACCGUCAGCUAAGGUCCCAAAGUGUAUGUUAAGUGGGAAACGAUGUGGAAAGGCUCAGACAGCCAUAAGUUGGCUUAGAAGCAGCCAUCUUUAAAGAAAGCGUAAUAGCUCACUGGUCGAGUCGGUCUGCGCGGAAGAUUUAACGGGGCUAAACAUACCACCGAAGCUACGGAUGCAAGACUUGUUCUUGCAUGGUAGAGGAGCGUUCUGUAAGCCGUUGAAGGUGAGUUGAGAAGCUUGCUGGAGGUAUCAGAAGUGCGAAUGUUGACAUGAGUAACGAUAAUGGGGUGAAAACCCACGCCGAAAGACCAAGGGUUCCUGUCCAACGUUAAUCGGGUAGGUGAGUCGACUCUAAGGCGAGGCCGAAAGGCGUAGUCGAUGGGAAACUGGUUAAUAUUCCAGUACUCGCUUAUAUUGCGAUGGGGUGACGGAGAAGGUUAGGCUAGCAUGGCGAUGGUUGUCCAUGUUUAAGGUAGUAGGCAAGUGACUUAGGCAAAUCCGGGUCGCUCUCUUUAAUGAGAAUGCUGAGAACUGAUGACGAGUCUCUACGGAGAUGAAGUAGUUGAUACCCGGCUUCCAGGAAAAACCUCUAAGCUUCAGAUAUGAGAGAAUCGUACCCCAAACCGACACAGGUGGUUAGGUAGAGAAUACUAAGGCGCUUGAGAGAACUCGGGUGAAGGAACUAGGCAAAAUGGUACCGUAACUUCGGGAGAAGGUACGCCAAUGGUGGUGAAGGACUUGCUCCGUAAGCUACUGUUGGUCGCAGAGAAAUGGUGGCUGCAACUGUUUAUUAAAAACACAGCACUGUGCAAAAUCGAAAGAUGACGUAUACGGUGUGACGCCUGCCCGGUGCCGGAAGGUUAAUUGAUUGGGUUAGACUUAGGUCGAAGCUCAUGAUCGAAGCCCCGGUAAACGGCGGCCGUAACUAUAACGGUCCUAAGGUAGCGAAAUUCCUUGUCGGGUAAGUUCCGACCUGCACGAAUGGCGUAAUGAUGGCCACGCUGUCUCCACCCGAGACUCAGUGAAAUUGAAAUCGCUGUUAAGAUGCAGUGUACCCGCGGCUAGACGGAAAGACCCCGUGAACCUUUACUAUAGCUUGGCACUGAACAUUGAACCUACAUGUGUAGGAUAGGUGGGAGACUAUGAAAUAUUGUCGCUAGAUGAUAUUGAGUCGUCCUUGAAAUACCACCCCUUGUACGUUUGAUGUUCUAACGUAGGUCCCUUAUCGGGAUUACGGACAGUGUCUGGUGGGUAGUUUGAUCAGCGGUCUCCUCCCAAAGAGUAACGGAGGAGCACGAAGGUUGGCUAAACAUGGUUGGACAUCAUGUGGUUAGUGCAAAGGCAUAAGCCAGCUUAACUGCGAGACAGACACGUCGAGCAGGUACGAAAGUAGGUCUUAGUGAUCCGGUGGUUCUGAAUGGAAGGGCCAUCGCUCAACGGAUAAAAGGUACCCGGGGAUAACAGGCUGAUACCGCCCAAGAGUUCAUAUCGACGGCGGUGUUUGGCACCUCGAUGUCGGCUCAUCACAUCCCGGCUGAAGUUGGUCCCAAGGGUAUGGCUGUUCGCCAUUUAAAGUGGUACGCGAGCUGGGUUUAGAACGUCGUGAGACAGUUCGGUCCCUAUCUGCCGUGGGCGUUUGAGAAUUGAGAGGAGCUGCUCCUAGUACGAGAGGACCGGAGUGGACGAACCACUGGUGUUCGGGUUGUUAUGCCAAUAGCAUUGCCCGGUAGCUAAGUUCGGAACUGAUAACCGCUGAAAGCAUCUAAGCGGGAAGCAGGCCUCGAGAUGAGUUCUCACUGGAGCUUUAAGCUCCCUAAAGGGCCGUUGGAGACUACAACGUUGAUAGGCAAGGUGUGUAAGUGCUGUGAGGCAUUGAGCUAACUUGUACUAAUUACCCGUGAGGCUUAACCAUACAAACU
rnacentral:rRNA from 1 species